UGCCAGACUCCUACGGGAGGCAGCAGUGGGGAAUAUUGCACAAUGGGGGAAACCCUGAUGCAGCGGCGCCGCGUGAGCGAUGAAGUAUUUCGGUAUGUAAAGCUCUCUCAGCAGGGAAGAAGAUGACGGUACCUGACUAAGAAGCCCCGGCUAACUACGUGCCAGCAGCCGCGGUAAUACGUAGGGGGCAAGCGUUAUCCGGAUUUACUGGGUGUAAAGGGAGCGUAGACGGCGAUGCAAGCCAGAUGUGAAAGCCCGGGGCUCAACCCCGGGACUGCAUUUGGAACUGUGUGGCUGGAGUGUCGGAGAGGCAGGCGGAAUUCCUAGUGUAGCGGUGAAAUGCGUAGAUAUUAGGAGGAACACCAGUGGCGAAGGCGGCCUGCUGGACGAUGACUGACGUUGAGGCUCGAAAGCGUGGGGAGCAAACAGGAUUAGAUACCCCUGUAAG
rnacentral:rRNA from 1 species